GAGGGAGGCAUCCCCGAGUUUUCCAUUGAUAAACCGAUUGUCGCCGAACAAGAGACGGCAGCAUCAUCUUGUGGUUCCUUCUCUCAGCAGCGGCGAUACUGCUCAUAAUCGUCCUUCUUGUCACGAUGUUCGUGAUGCUGAACACCGGU